GCUACAGGUAGCGCUCUCGUUGGAGGGACAUUUCUGCUAUUUUGGCAUUGUGGGAUAGCUCGCCGGACUACUUUCGCCUGAGUUGCAAGGUCCACCCUGUGCAUUUCCAACUACGUACCACAAAGGAACAGGAGACCACAAAACCCCCGGAUGGAAGACUUUGUCAUGCACCAACAAUUCCUUUGCGACUACCUCUCCUGACCACCCAAAGCUUGAUAAGUUAGGCCCUUCUUUCUCCCAGCUUGGCUGAAUCACUGAUUUAACCAGGUGAUCAUCUCUCUGAUUCUCUCUCCACUUGCACACACUGGAGAUGACCGCACCACUCCUGUACAUAUCCUGAGGGCCUGAGUUUGAACUAGGUCCAACCAGGACCAAACUGUCUUGGAGGCAGAUCCAUAUACACUUCCAUAUUCCAGUCUUGAUCUUAUCAGAUACACAUAAAUUUACUUUAAAGAGGCCAUAGCUGCACCCCACUCUGAUCCAACCAGACAUCUCAUUAUGUUCAUCACCUUUUUUGCAUUUUUCCACCACUUUCAUCUUCUUUGCCUUCUUCUUCUAGUUUAUUGGCGGUUUGCAAACCGACACGGUGCAUUAUCGCCAUCAACUGUUUGGGUGUGGAGCAUUAAUGGAUUCUAAUAUAUGCUAUAUUAAUAAGGAAUUGUGGAGAUGACGGGGGGGUGUUUGAGGGAAAUUACACUGUGCUAUAUUCUCUUCAAUAACCCUGAUCCCUUUAAAUGUGUGAAUACAUGCCUCCAAACUGUUGGUGUAAAAAGAAAGUAAUCACUGAACUGUUCUGUCCUAGUGUUCUGACAUUGUCUAAUAGAGUUCUUCUUUGUCUUAUAUAAGUUUGGCGCUCUAGUAACACAUGUUCCACCGUCUCCCUUCUGCUGCAUCUCAAAUACUGACUGGUUUCAUGUUUUCCAAUGAUGAUGAGUGUAUGAUUUAAACCUGUGUGACCUAUACGUAGUCAUGUGAUUACUUCUUCUUCCCUGCGACUCCAUCUCCCCUGUCUUCUUGAUACAACCUGUCCCUGAAUGUUAUGUAGAAACCCUUAGAUUCCGUCCCGUAGCUUCUGUCAUGCGUUGUUCAUUUCCGUCUUGAUGAUUGAUUUGACUAUAGAUUUACUAAGUAGAAUGUUGAGCUGUAUCUCUGAUUUCAGAGCUGCUUUUGCCAGCUGAUCGACUACUUCAUUGCCCUCAAUUUUUCGAUGAGAUGGAACCCACGUGAGACAUACUGAAAUAUUCUGUUGUUGGAGUUUAAAUGAGCUUUGAAGAAUCUCGAUCAGAUCUGGCCUGCAAACAGAUUUGCCAUUUGAAAUGCUGAGUAACACUGCCAUUAAAUCCAAACACAUGACAUGGUGACUGAACUUCACUUCCUCUACCCACCAGUGUGAGCAAAAUCACUAGCAGUUCACAGAAAAAAAACAGGCAGCAUUGUUGGAUUGAGCCAAAUAUCGAUAAUAUCGAUACCAAUGUUGAUAUUGAUACAGGGUGACCCCACCCAAAAAGUCAGAACCCAAAAUCAUUUAAAUAAAUCCUUCAAAGGUCAUGUCUUGGUUGUGUGUGUGUGUGUGUGUGUGGUUUGGGGGGGGAUGUCACCCUGUAUUGUUCGAUACCACUGUAAUGAGAUUGAUACUUUAGUGUCAAUUUCUCUCCUGCAUGUACUGCUGUAUUCAGAAAAGUGCACUGAAGGGAAGAAAUUUUGUUUUCUUUUUGUAUUGUAUUCUGUUUUCUGACCACACAUUAUACUUGUUUUGCAAAAUUUGUUGUGGAGUGAUAAUUAUAUACACUUUGAUUACUUCAGGAAAAAUCCAGAAAAGAAGUGCAAUGAAGGGAGAAAUUGUAUUUGAUUUUUGUAUUGUAGUUUCUGAGCACUCUACCUG